CUGAGAGAGACCGUGGGCCAGGCCCUGGUUAAAAGGGUCUGGGGCGUCUGGACCUGCGCUGGUAAUGACAGUGGUCUCCACCCGUGAGCACCUCACCCUUCACCCAGAUCCCCAACACUUGUGCCCAAGGGGAAACUUUAUUGCCUAGAAGGAUGCAGAGAAGGGAGCAGUGACCCACCAUCCCCGUCUGAGCCUCCCCGACAGUGGGAAGGCAGAAGACAGGCCAGGUGGUAGAGGGCCUUACUGUGGAGCUGGCUUCCCGGGCGGAGAGAAGGGCAGUGGUCUCUCACCUUCAGGGGCAGACAAGACGAUCUCACUGAACGGCCCGCUCCCCAGCCUGUUCUGAGCUAGGACGCUGAACUGGUACUGGGUGUGGGGCUGCAGCCCGGGCACUAGGAGACAGAGGCAGCACAGUGGGUAUCUUACUCUGUGGAUGUGGUGUGUGCCUCAGGUCCCACCUCCCAGCACCAUCUCUGCAAAAAACCGUGGGAUGGGGUCUGACAGCCACUGCUGUGGCCACCGUGGGAAACUCCGAC